GGGGAGAUACUCAAGCGGCCAACGAGGGCAGACUGUAAAUCUGCUGACUACGUCUUCGCAUGUUCGAAUCCUGCUCUCCCCA
rnacentral:tRNA from 1 species